AUUUUCGCCAAAGGCUUGAGUACCUGACUUUCCAUGUAGUGACUGUCUAUCCUCCCUCUUUCUUUCAGUAUAAAAGGGCCUGUCUCUCUGAGAACAUGGCAUUUACUUUUUCUUAAGACAUGUUUAGGAGACAAUAUGAAGAAAUCAUCGCUAUGAAGCCAGCAGAAUUGUACUUGAAGUAAUCUCAUCUAUUGUUUGGGGACUGAUUAGAUGCCCUCUGACUACCUUGAUUCAAGGAAUGAGAAGACGUGCACAAAUAACUGUGGCACGAAUCAGGAAGUGAUGCUAUAUAUAUGAGGAGUUUGGAACAACUAGUUGUGGCCUGAAGAAUCAAGUCCCAGUGAUGACCGUGUGUGAGUAUGGGUAGAGGCAAACCCCAUCACUACUUCUAGAAAUACAACUCAAAGGGUGUGUUGGGCAAUAGUCCUAUUUGAAAGGUAGUCCUUUAUUUAAAAUUGGUAAUUCAUAUGAUCAUACUUACAUUUAUGAGUUUGUGUACAUAAAACCUUUAAAAUGAAUUAACCUGUUUCCUACCUAUGGAGUAGAUUGAAUCAUGCUUUAUUUUUUUUCUGUUGAGAAUGUGAUAUAACAUCACAGUCUGUCAGUUUCGUAUUUAUUGGGGGAAUGUUUUCAGAUCAAUCUUUCCUCACUGACUUGAAAACACAUUUACUUUUUAUUUCUUGAACUCCACUUCAACCAAAAAAGUCUCUCAUGCUGACUCAGCAUACAAAGCUACAUUUUAUACCUGUCAGGCCACAUAUAGAUUUUUAUAAGGUGAACAAUGGUUGUAUUUAAGUACUGAUGUAGUAAUCUUGAAAUCUUCUGGCAGUAUCCUUUGGAAACUGAAUCCAUAAAUUUUAUUCGUAUUAAAUGUUUCUAAUGGGAGUUGACAAAUAGUUGAAUGGGAUAGCUUUUUCUUUGCACUUGGCAAAGAGAGAGGGAAGAAAAAGUCCCCAUUAUACAAUGAGAAAUGCAUUAAUGCUCAAGCCCAUUCAUUAAUCUCAAUUUUGUACAAAAAUAAUUUAAAACCUUUAACAAC
ensembl:lncRNA